rnacentral:rRNA from 1 species
AAAGCUCUUUCAGUUGAGAGAAAAGGUUGUGGUAAAUAAUCACAAUUGAUGACGGUAUCGACAGAAGAAGCACCGGCUAACUACGUGCCAGCAGCCGCGGUAAUACGUAGGGUGCAAGCGUUAAUCGGAAUUACUGGGCGUAAAGGGUGCGCAGGCGGCUUUGUAAGUCAGAUGUGAAAUACCCCGGGCUUAACCUGGGAAUUGCGUUUGAAACUACAAAGACUAGAGUGUAGCAGAGGGGGGUGGGAAGUUCCAUGUGUAGCAGUGAAAUGCGUAGAGAUAUGGAAGAACAUCGAUGGCGAAGGCAGCCCCCUGGGUUAACACUGACGCUCAUGCACGAAAGCGUGGGGAGCAAACAGGAUUAGAUACCCUGGUAG